rnacentral:rRNA from 1 species
UACGGGAGGCAGCAGUGGGGAAUAUUGCACAAUGGGCGCAAGCCUGAUGCAGCCAUGCCGCGUGUAUGAAGAAGGCCUUCGGGUUGUAAAGUACUUUCAGUCGUGAGGAAGGUGUUAAGGUUAAUAACCUUAGCAAUUGACGUUAGCGACAGAAGAAGCACCGGCUAACUCCGUGCCAGCAGCCGCGGUAAUACGGAGGGUGCGAGCGUUAAUCGGAAUUACUGGGCGUAAAGGGCACGCAGGCGGUUAAUUAAGUUGGAUGUGAAAUCCCCGGGCUUAACCUGGGAAUGGCAUUCAAGACUGGUUAGCUAGAGUCUUGUAGAGGGGGUAGAAUUCCGAUGUGUAGCGGUGAAAUGCGUAGAGAUGUGGAAGAAUACCGGUGGCGAAGGCGGCCCCUGGACAAAGCCGACGCUCAUGUGCGAAAGCGUGGGGAGCAAACAGGGAUUAGAUACC